CCUACGGGAGACAGCAGUGAGGAAUAUUGGUCAAUGGACGAGAGUCUGAACCAGCCAAGUAGCGUGAAGGAUGACUGCCCUAUGGGUUGUAAACUUCUUUUAUAUGGGAAUAAAACGUUCCACGUGUGGGAUUUUGUAUGUACCAUAUGAAUAAGGAUCGGUUAACUCCGUGCCAGCAGCCGCGGUAAUACGGAGGAUCCGAGCGUUAUCCGGAUUUAUUGGGUUUAAAGGGAGCGUAGGUGGAUUGUUAAGUCAGUUGUGAAAGUUUGCGGCUCAACCGUAAAAUUGCAGUUGAAACUGGCAGUCUUGAGUACAGUAGAGGUGGGCGGAAUGCGUGGUGUAGCGGUGAAAUGCUUAGAUAUCACGAAGAACUCCGAUUGCGAAGGCAGUUCACUGGACUGCAACUGACACUGAGGCUCGAAAGUGUGGGUAUCAAACAGGAUUAGAUACCCUUGUAGUC
rnacentral:rRNA from 1 species